rnacentral:tRNA from 1 species
ACUUAAAUAGCUUAUUUAGAGCCUAAUAUUGAAGAUAUUAAGGAGAUUUAGAUCUUUAAGUA